rnacentral:lncRNA from 1 species
UUGAUAGUUGUAAAAGCUCCUUCUCAAAUACUAAUAAAUCACUUUGUUCCCCGAUAAUGAUUGAAUGAAUGAAUCCAGGCAGACUGAUGAAAUUUAAGAUGAACUCCAGUUUGUCGGUGGCAGUUAAAUUAAGAAUAAUAUCUAAGACAUGAAUCAUGACUGUUAAUUCCAUUCACAAAAUCAGAUUACACUAAAAUUAUUUUCUACCAAAAAAGGCAGGCAAGAU